CCUACGGGGUGCUGCAGUGAGGAAUAUUGGUCAAUGGGCGCGAGCCUGAACCAGCCAAGUAGCGUGAAGGAUGACUGCCCUACGGGUUGUAAACUUCUUUUAUAAAGGAAUAAAGUGAGGCACGUGUGCCUUUUUGUAUGUACUUUAUGAAUAAGGAUCGGCUACCUCCGUGCCAGCAGCCGCGGUAAUACGGAGGAUCCGAGCGUUAUCCGGAUUUAUUGGGUUUAAAGGGAGCGGAGAUGGGUGGUUAAGUCAGUUGUGAAAGUUUGCGGCUCAACCGUAAAAUUGCAAUUGAUACUGGCAGUCUUGAGUACAGUUGAGGUAGGCGGAAUUCGUGGUGUAGCGGUGAAAUGCUUAGAUAUCACGAAGAACUCCGAUUGCGAAGGCGGCCUGCUGGACGAUGACUGACGCUGAGGCUCGAAAGCGUGGGGAGCAAACAGGAUUAGAUACCCGGGUAGUC
rnacentral:rRNA from 1 species